GAUGAACGCUGGCGGCGUGCCUAAUACAUGCAAGUCGAGCGAACAGAUGAGGAGCUUGCUCCUCUGACGUUAGCGGCGGACGGGUGAGUAACACGUGGAUAACCUACCUAUAAGACUGGGAUAACUUCGGGAAACCGGAGUUAAUACCGGAUAAUAUAUUGAACCGCAUGGUUCAAUAGUGAAAGACGGUUUUGCUGUCACUUAUAGAUGGAUCCGCGCCGCAUUAGCUAGUUGGUAAGGUAACGGCUUACCAAGGCGACGAUGCGUAGCCGACCUGAGAGGGUGAUCGGCCACACUGGAACUGAGACACGGUCCAGACUCCUACGGGAGGCAGCAGUAGGGAAUCUUCCGCAAUGGGCGAAAGCCUGACGGAGCAAUGCCGCGUGAGUGAUGAAGGUCUUCGGAUCGUAAAACUCUGUUAUUAGGGAAGAACAAAUGUAUAAGUAACUAUGCACGUCUUGACGGUACCUAAUCAGAAAGCCACGGCUAACUACGUG
rnacentral:rRNA from 1 species